rnacentral:lncRNA from 1 species
GCUGGGUUUCCGUUAUGACGGAGCGGUAAACAGGGAAAAGGGUCAGUGGUCCUGGUGUUGGAGCAUUCGGUCUACAGUAGCAUCUUCCCUCGGCGGGGCACACACACACAGGAGCUCUUCGUUCUCUCUCAGUUCAGUUCUCAGUUCGUUCAGUCCAAAGAGAUAAAGUUUGUUACGGUACUAGGGUUCAAUCCAAUGUUUGGGCCCGUUUUGGGAGAGAUAACACUCAGCGGUGUGUUGUUCUGCAAAGUUUCUCUGAUUCUUCUGUCUGAGCUGGAUAAAGCUUCCUUGAUCUGUAUUUUGGUUCCACAGAGAUACGAUCGUUCAACCCACCUGUGUGGCUGCGCCUAGCGGUAUUUGAACUUAUUUCUAGACAAUGACCCAACACACCUCCAGGCUGUGUAAAGGCUAUUUGACCAAGAAGGAGAGUGAUGGAAUGCUGCCUCAGAUUACCUGGCCUCCACAAUCAUCCAACCUCAACCCAGUUGAGAUGGUUUGGGAUGAGUUGUACUGCAGAGUGAAGUAAAAGCAGCCAACAAGUGCUCAGCAUAUGUGGGAAUUCCUUCAAGACUGUUGGAAAAGCAUUUCAGAUGUCGACUGACCGGCUGCAGAUUGGAUUAGAUUCAUGCUAGUGACGCUGUUACAUUAUGCAGUCAACUGUGACAUGUUUUGCUAUGGCUCUGGGUUGUUUUUAGUUUGUUGUUGCCUGUUAGUACACUGUCGAAUCUGUUACGGAAUUUUAAUGUUUGUGCUUUUCUUAUAUCAAAUUUCUGUGUUCUAUUCAUGUGCUGUUCUGUAAACCAAUUUAUGUGUUCAUGCAAGUGGUUGACUGUACAAAUCCUCACAAUCAAUAGCUGCAAUUUGGCAGUACGCCCAGACCAUGUUUUGAGAACGAAUGAAAGAUAUCUCAGUUUCAAGGUUUUAGCUUAGAGAGAAGAAGCCUCAUGAGAUAUUGGUCUGUCACAUGUUAUGAACCAGUAUUGGUCUGUCACAUGAAUGAAACGGUAAUGAUUAAUGAAUUAUACUAAAUCAUGCAAAUAUAACUUGUCUCUGUAUAGCCUUAUAUAACAAAACUGCUUGGACUGCCCAGGCAAAGCUCCUGAUUAGCAUGUGUACUAUGGUGCAUUGAGUUAGUUGGAACCUCUCCAGCGCGCUAACAAAUAAAUAAUGAUUUAUUUAAGAUUGACUUAGAGUGUCC